GACGAACGCUGGCGGCGUGCUUAACACAUGCAAGUCGAACGGAAAGGCCCUGCUUGCAGGGUACUCGAGUGGCGAACGGGUGAGUAACACGUGGGUGAUCUGCCCUGCACUUCGGGAUAAGCUUGGGAAACUGGGUCUAAUACCGGAUAGGAGCCAUCUUUAGUGUGGUGGUUGGAAAGUUUUUUCGGUGUAGGAUGAGCUCGCGGCCUAUCAGCUUGUUGGUGGGGUAAUGGCCUACCAAGGCGGCGACGGGUAGCCGGCCUGAGAGGGUGUACGGCCACAUCGGGACCGAGAUACGGCCCAGACUCCUACGGGAGGCAGCAGUGGGGAAUAUUGGACAAUGGGCGCAAGCCUGAUGCAGCGACGCCGCGUGGGGGAUGAAGGCCUUCGGGUUGUAAACUCCUUUCGCUAGGGACGAAGCUUUGUUGUGACGGUACCUAGAUAAGAAGCACCGGCUAACUACGUG
rnacentral:rRNA from 1 species